CGAACGGCAGCGGGGGUAGCUUGCUACCUGCCGGCGAGUGGCGAACGGGUGAGUAAUACAUCGGAACGUGCCCUGUAGUGGGGGAUAACUAGUCGAAAGACUAGCUAAUACCGCAUACGACCUGAGGGUGAAAGUGGGGGACCGCAAGGCCUCAUGCUAUAGGAGCGGCCGAUGUCUGAUUAGCUAGUUGGUGGGGUAAAGGCCCACCAAGGCGACGAUCAGUAGCUGGUCUGAGAGGACGAUCAGCCACACUGGGACUGAGACACGGCCCAGACUCCUACGGGAGGCAGCAGUGGGGAAUUUUGGACAAUGGGGGCAACCCUGAUCCAGCAAUGCCGCGUGUGUGAAGAAGGCCUUCGGGUUGUAAAGCACUUUUGUCCGGAAAGAAAUCGCUUCGGUUAAUACCUGGAGUGGAUGACGGUACCGGAAGAAUAAGGACCGGCUAACUACGUGCCAGCAGCCGCGGUAAUACGUAGGGUCCAAGCGUUAAUCGGAAUUACUGGGCGUAAAGCGUGCGCAGGCGGUUGUGCAAGACCGAUGUGAAAUCCCCGGGCUUAACCUGGGAAUUGCAUUGGUGACUGCACAGCUAGAGUGUGUCAGAGGGAGGUAGAAUUCCACGUGUAGCAGUGAAAUGCGUAGAGAUGUGGAGGAAUACCGAUGGCGAAGGCAGCCUCCUGGGAUAACACUGACGCUCAUGCACGAAAGCGUGGGGAGCAAACAGGAUUAGAUACCCUGGUAGUCCACGCCCUAAACGAUGUCAACUAGUUGUUGGGGAUUCAUUUCCUUAGUAACGUAGCUAACGCGUGAAGUUGACCGCCUGGGGAGUACGGUCGCAAGAUUAAAACUCAAAGGAAUUGACGGGGACCCGCA
rnacentral:rRNA from 1 species